CCUUCCCAAAGGCUAUCUCAGAUAAGGCAGAGGAAAAAACGCACGUGCGAUGACAUGUUCUCUGAGCUCAUGCAGUCGUCCGGCACUGACAGAGCUCAGCAGAAUGUGUGGAGGGACGCAAUAGCACAGUACAGGAUGGUGGCCUAUGAACGUGAGGAGAGGUAGCAGCAGGAAGGUCAGAGGAGGCAUUAGGCAACUGUGGGAUCAAAGGGACAUGCUCCGGCAUCUGGUGGAGGUUCAUGAACGGUAGCAGGAUCACAGACUGAUGCUGCAGCCCCUGCUUAACCGCCCUCCCUCCUCCCCAAGUUCCAUAGCCGCCCCACCCAGACACACAAGAACGCGGGGUGGGAGGUUCCAACCACUCCACCACAGUGGACAGCCCAAGCAACAGAAGGCUGGCAUUCAACAAGUUUUAAAGUGGCCUUUUCCUUCCCUCCUACCGUCCUCCCACACCCCACCCAGGCUACCUUGUG